AUGAAACGUCAUGAGCAUUAUUCUUUCUCUCAGCUAAAACAUUCUUCAAAUUGUGAGGCUCGCGUUUCGUUUCGCGUAGACAUUUCAUAUGGACUUCAUAUUUCUUUGAUUUAAUUCAAAUAUCAGAGUUAAUCAUUGGCAUCAAAUAGUAUUCAAUGAAAUUGGUCAAUUUUAUUGUAGUAAAAAUAUCAAUUUUCAGCCCCCAAGAUGGCUGGUGUUUCCUCCAAUUAUGAUGCAAUUUAUGACGUUAGUUAGAGCUCUCUAUGACCAAGUAUCCCUUCAACUACUCACCCCGGUGCCCAUAUCGAAGAAAUAUAUGUAUGAAUAUUUACUAUGCUUCCAUAAAAUGAUCUCUUAGACUUAGACAUCUGCUCCCAGUGAUGAAGAAGACACUACAGAUAUUUUUCAACCAUUUUGAAAAACCUAUUCUGUUUACUCAGUCUGUUUUGAAUUAUUGGGUUAGAGAUCUUUAUCUAUCAAAAGAGUGUGCAACUGUUGUUUUCAAGACUGCAUGAGAAUCGAAUGCGAACCCCAGCACAAAUGUAUCAUUUUUUAAGAUGGGCACGUUUGGACAAAUAAAUUACUUCUUUGUUUUCUUUCUUAUUUUUUAUUCAUCAUUUAUUAAUAAUUCUUGUACAACAUCUCCCUCCAAUAAAGACUAUUGUUUGCCGCUACCUUAGUAAAAUAAA
rnacentral:lncRNA from 1 species